rnacentral:rRNA from 1 species
UACAGAGGGUGCGAGCGUUAAUCGGAAUUACUGGGCGUAAAGCGCGCGUAGGCGGCUCUGCAAGUCGGGUGUGAAAUCCCCAGGCUUAACCUGGGAACUGCAUUCGAGACUGCAUUGCUAGAGUAUGGGAGAGGGAAGUGGAAUUUCCGGUGUAGCGGUGAAAUGCGUAGAUAUCGGAAGGAACAGCAGUGGCGAAAGCGACUUCCUGGACCAAUACUGACGCUCAUGUGCGAAAGCGUGGGGAGCAAACAGG